CCUUGCUGUCUCAUUGGUUAUGAUCUCAACCACCACCUGUAAUCUUAUAAUGCGGUUGAGCAUAUAUAUGUGGGGGUUUGGUAACCAUAAGUACCAUCUUCAGCCCAGGUAGCAGGUCCAUAAUAAUUAAUAAUACGUUGGAGAGACCACUCAUCAUCUUCCCAGUUACCUACAUUCAAUGAUGUUCGCUUCUUUUUAUGAUUUACAUCAUAAACCUUAACUCCCAAGGUCUCUCCCAUUUCAAUUGGUAACAAGAAGAAGGAUGGUUUGAGCAUACAUGCUCCCUCCCAAUCUUGUG